rnacentral:rRNA from 1 species
UGGGGAAUUUGCGGCAAUGGGCGAAAGCCUGACCGAGCAAUGCCGCGUGAAUGAUGAAGGUCUUCGGAUUGUAAAAUUCUGUUAUUUGGGAAGAACACAUGGUCUAGGAAAUGAUUCCAUGUUGACGGUACCUUUUGAGAAAGCUCCGGCUAACUACGUGCCAGCAGCCGCGGUAAUACGUAGGGAGCGAGCGUUAUCCGGAAUUAUUGGGCGUAAAGCGUGCGUAGGCGGUUUGUUAAGUCAAAUCUGAAAGCCCCCAGCUUAACUGGGGAGGGUGAUUUGAAACUGGCAGACUUGAGUACGGCAGAGGUUAGUGGAAUUCCAUGUGUAGCGGUGGAAUGCGUAGAUAUAUGGAGGAACACCAGUGGCGAAGGCGGCUAACUGGACCGGAACUGACGCUGAUGCACGAAAGCGUGGGGAGCAAACAGGAUUAGAUACCCUGGUAGUCCACGCCGUAAACGAUGAGAACUAAGUGUUGGGGUUACUCAGUGCUGAAGUUAACGCAUUAAGUUCUCCGCCUGGGGAGUACGAUCGCAAGGUUG